rnacentral:rRNA from 1 species
UACGGGGGGGGCAAGCGUUGUUCGGAAUUACUGGGCGUAAAGGGCUCGUAGGUGGCCAACUAAGUCAGACGUGAAAUCCCUCGGCUUAACCGGGGAACGGCCGUCCAAACUGCUUCGCUUGAGACCGGGAGAGGUGAGUGGAAUUCCCAGUGUAGCGGUGAAAUGCGUAGAUAUUGGGAGGAACACCAGUGGCGAAGGCGGCUCACUGGACCGGUACUGACGCUGAAGCGCGAAAGCGUGGGGAGCAAACGGG